UCUCUUGAUUAAAAUAUGAUUACUAUUUUAAACCAAAAGUGAUGGUAAGCAAAAACUUAAAUGAUAAAGUAGUAAAACUUGGCUCUGAUUUUAAGUAUGGCGUGCACUAAGGGAUACACAUGGUUUUUGUAGAGAGAGAUGAGGUGGAAGAUUAAAAGUUAGGUUAGCAUAAAGUUAUAUAGACAAGAUCUUCUAGGAUGUUAUAGUGAACACGAUGUCCUGAAAUCCCCAUUAACACCAGUGUUGGAGAUUAAGAAAAGAGUGAAAGCUUGUCUUAGCUUAGUGAAUAAAAUUUGGUUAAUUUGGUGCCAGCAUCCGCGGUUAAACCAAGGAAUUUAGUCAUUUUUUUUGGUAAAAAGACAGUUAGGCAGAAUAAGAUCAUUGGACCUUUAGUACAGGGGUAAAAUCUAAAUACUAAAAGUUAUAUCAGGUGUGAUUUAUUUAAGACGCUGAAUCUGUGACAACUUUAAGGGAAACUGGGAUUGGAUACCCCAUUAUUUUUAGUAGUAAAUUUAAUCUAGAUUUACCAGAGUACUACGAAUAAAAAAUUUAAAACUCAAAGAGCUUGGCGGUGUUUUAGACCUCUCAGGGGAACCUGUCUCAUAAUCGACAAUCCGCGCUAAACCCGACCCUCUGUAGCAGUUCAGCCUGUAUACCGUUGUCGUCAGGUAACUUCUUAAAAUAUAGUAGUUAGCUCGAGAAUCUUAUUAAUUAGUACGUCAAAUCAAGGUGCAGCUAAUAAGAGGGAGAGGAUGGGUUACAAUUAUAUAUUUAUAAUUACGAAAAACAUCUUAAAUAAAAUGCUGGAAGGAGGACUUGAAAGUAAUUUUGAUUAUAUAAAUAGAAUGAAUAAGGCUCUGAAACGUGCACACAUCGCCCGUCGCUCUCGUUGAAAAAUGAGAUAAGUCGUAACAUAGUAGGGGUAAUGGAAAUUGUUCCUGAGCUG
rnacentral:rRNA from 1 species